rnacentral:rRNA from 1 species
GCGGGUCUGUGGGUAGUAACUGACGGUGAGGAGAGAAAGCGUGGGUAGCGAACAGGAUUAGAUACCGUGGUAGUACACGCUGUAAACGGUGGGUAAUAGGUGUGGGGCUCAUUUCAAGAGUUCCGUGCUGUAGCUAACGCAUUAAGUACCCCGCGUGGGGAGUACGGCCGCAAGGCUAAAACUCAAAGGAAUUGACGGGGGCCCGCACAAGCGGCGGAGCAUGUGGAUUAAUUAGAUGCAACGAGAAGAACCUUACCUGGGUUUGACAUACCCCAGACGCCAGCAGAGAUGUUGGUUCCCUUGUGGUUGGUGUACAGGUGGUGCAUGGCUGUUGUCAGCUCGUGUCGUGAGAUGUUGGGUUAAGUCCCGCAAAGAGCGCAACCCUUGUCCUGUAUUGCCAGCGGGUUAUGCCGGGGACUCGCAGGAGACUGCCGGGGUCAACUGGGAGGAAGGUGGGGAUGACGUCAAGUCAUCAUGCCCUUUAUGUCCAGGGUUUCACACAUGCUACAAUGGCCGGUACAGAGGGGUGAGAUACCGUGAGGUGGAGAGAAUCCCUUAAAGCCGGUCUCAGUUCGGAUCGGGGUGUGCAACUCGACCCCGAGAAGUGGGAGUCGAUAGUAAUCGCAGAUCAGCAACGGUGCGGUGAAUACGUUCCCGGGCCUUGUACACACCGCCCGUCAUGUCAUGAAAGUCGGUAACACCAGAAGCCGGUGGCAUAAC